CCUCUGAACUCACGGAUCUGCAAGCUACCUCAUGCCUUGAUGCAUCAUUUGGUAUUCAGAGCAUAAUUCAUGAUCCUGCAGUGAGCUAAGUGUCUUCUUUCUUCAUUCCAUACUAUCAUCACACUUCUACAAUGUCUUGAAUCAGUUUUCAUCUUGUUCCAGUCAUUUGCUGUUGAUUUAGGUUCUAUUUUGAGUUUUCUUUGGUGCUAGCUCUGUUUGCUUGAGUCUUGAUCAUUUUCAUUCGGUUUUCCUUACUGAUUUUGAGUCAUUUUCAUGAUUUAAGCAUCAUUCCAGUUUUGUCAUAAGUCAUGUUAAUUUCUGGUAUGUCUUUAAUUCUGGCUGAUGCUAUGUGAUCUGCUGGCUGUAACUGGAAAUCUUAAUGAGAAAAUACUUUCUGCACAAUCACAAGAGCUAUGACAAUCAAUAUGAUGAGCUCAGUUGCAUGAUUGAGUAAUAAUCUGUGCAGAUCCAAUGAUUCACGCAGUGCAAAACUGCAUCUGUUUUGAACCUCUGAAAACACUGUUCCAUUGCUUAUCUUGUUCUGUGAUUGAUUUCUUACAUAAGUAAAUGUUUUGACAUGAAAGUUAGUCCAUACUGAACAUUGUCUAAGCAUGAAUUGAUAGUGCAAAGUCAGAAUCCCAUUGUACUGGCAGUUAACCGAGCUGCACUUUCCUUUGUGAGUCAAAAUCUGUUUUCUAUUUUGAUUGAGCACCUAGAUCAUUGCCAGUAAUCCAAACAAUGUUUCUGCUACUUUGAGCAAAUUUCAUGUGUUGUUUUUAAGUCAUUUGCAAUGUCCAAAGUCAGAUUUACACUUGUUUCUAAAAUUUGGAUACUAUAGUUGCUUGUUUUGACUUGCAUCAGAACUGAACUAGCCAAAAUCUAUGCUGCACUAAUUUUAGUUCAUAAACCUGAUCAAACAAGUUUGAUUUCAGCUAAUAAACAUGUUUGAACCAAUAUAAAGUGCAUCUGGUUAGUUCUGCAAAGUUUGCAUAUAUCAGUUCCUCC
rnacentral:lncRNA from 1 species